rnacentral:rRNA from 1 species
UACGUAGGGGGCAAGCGUUGUCCGGAUUUAUUGGGCGUAAAGCGCGUGUAGGCGGUCCGGUAAGUCCGCUGUGAAAGUCGGGGGCUCAACCCUCGGAUGCCGGUGGAUACCGUCGGGCUUGAGUACGGAAGAGGCGAGUGGAAUUCCUGGUGUAGCGGUGAAAUGCGCAGAUAUCAGGAGGAACACCAAUUGCGAAGGCAGCUCGCUGGGACGUUACUGACGCUGAGACGCGAAAGCGUGGGGAGCAAACAGG